UACGUAGGGGGCAAGCGUUGUCCGGAAUUAUUGGGCGUAAAGAGCGCGUAGGCGGUCCGAUAAGUCGGCUGUGAAAGUCAGGGGCUCAACCCUUGAAAGCCGGCCGAUACCGUCGGACUAGAGUCCGGAAGAGGCAAGUGGAAUUCCCGGUGUAGCGGUGAAAUGCGCAGAUAUCGGGAGGAACACCAAUGGCGAAGGCAGCUUGCUGGGACGGUACUGACGCUGAGGCGCGAAAGCGUGGGGAGCAAACAGG
rnacentral:rRNA from 1 species